UUAGAGUUUGAUCCUGGCUCAGGACGAACGCUGGCGGCGUGCCUAAUACAUGCAAGUCGAACGAACUCUGGUAUUGAUUGGUGCUUGCAUCAUGAUUUACAUUUGAGUGAGUGGCGAACUGGUGAGUAACACGUGGGAAACCUGCCCAGAAGCGGGGGAUAACACCUGGAAACAGAUGCUAAUACCGCAUAACAACUUGGACCGCAUGGUCCGAGUUUGAAAGAUGGCUUCGGCUAUCACUUUUGGAUGGUNCCCGCGGCGUAUUAGCUAGAUGGUGAGGUAACGGCUNCANCCAUGGCAAUGAUACGUAGCCGACCUGAGAGGGUAAUCGGCCACAUUGGA
rnacentral:rRNA from 2 species